rnacentral:rRNA from 1 species
UACGGAGGAGGCAAGCGUUAUCCGGAAUUAUUGGGCGUAAAGCGUCCGUAGGUGGCUAGUCAAGUCUGCGGUCAAAGACUGGGGCUUAACCCUGGAAAGGCCGUGGAAACUGACGAGCUAGAGUACAGUAGGGGUAGAGGGAAUUCCCGGUGUAGCGGUGAAAUGCGUAGAUAUUGGGAAGAACACCGGUGGCGAAAGCGCUCUGCUGGACCUGCACUGACACUGAGGGACGAAAGCUAGGGGAGCGAAAGGG